rnacentral:rRNA from 1 species
CAGCCGCCGCGGGAAAACGAAGGGGGCUAGCGUUGCUCGGAAUGACUGGGCGUAAAGGGCGCGUAGGCGGCACAUACAGUCAGAUGUGAAAUUCCUGGGCUUAACCUGGGGGCUGCAUUUGAUACGUAUGAGCUAGAGUGGGGAAGAGGGUUGUGGAAUUCCCGGUGUAGAGGUGAAAUUCGUAGAUAUUGGGAAGAACACCGGUGGCGAAGGCGGCAACCUGGUCCUUGACUGACGCUGAGGCGCGAAAGCGUGGGGAGCAAACAGGAUUAGAUACCCGCGUAGUCCCUGUCUCUUAUAC